GGGGCCGUGGUCGAGCAUGGUCUAAGAUGCCUGGCUUGGGCCCAGGAGGUCGCCGGUUCAAAUCCGGCCGGCCCCACCA
rnacentral:tRNA from 1 species